GCCAGUAUAGCUCAGUUGGUAGAGCAGCGCACUCGUAACGCGAAGGUCGUAGGUUCGAUUCCUAUUAUUGGCACCA
rnacentral:tRNA from 1 species